rnacentral:rRNA from 1 species
GCUUGUUGGGGGGGUAAUGGCCCACCAAGGCGACGACGGGUAGCUGGUCUGAGAGGAUGGCCAGCCACAUUGGGACUGAGAGACGGCCCAGACUCCUACGGGAGGCGGCAGUGGGGAAUCUUGCGCAAUGGCCGAAAGGCUGACGCAGCGACGCCGCGUGGGGGAGGAAGGCCUUCGGGUUGUAAACCCCUGUUGCCCGGGACGAAUGUGCACUUUAGAGUGCAUUGACGGUACCGGGUGAGGAAGCACCGGCUAACUCCGUGCCAGCAGCCGCGGUAAUACGGAGGGUGCAAGCGUUGUCCGGAAUCACUGGGCGUAAAGGGCGCGUAGGCGGCUCAUAAAGGCUGUGGUGAAAGUUCGGGGCUCAACCUCGAAUCGGCCGUGGCGACUUGUGGGCUGGAGCACUGUAGAGGCAGGUGGAAUUCCGGGUGUAGCGGUGGAAUGCGUAGAGAUCCGGAAGAACACCAGUGGCGAAGGCGGCCUGCUGGGCAGUGGCUGACGCUGAGGCGCGACAGCGUGGGGAGCAAACAGGAUUAGAUACCCCGGUAGUCCACGCCGUAAACGAUGGGCACUAGGUGCUUGGGGGAGCGACCCUCUGAGUGCCGGCGCUAACGCAUUAAGUGCCCCGCCUGGGGAGUACGG